ACACCUCAACUCUCAUGGUUUGCCAUGAAGAGCUUGGACUCUGGGGGUUUGCUGGCCAUUUCAGUCGGCUCCUCUCAAAUGAAUUAGCUUGCCAGUGUUUGGUGGCGUUACGGGUGUGAUAACUAUCUACGCUCGCUGUCGUCUGCCAGGUAACCUUCGUCACCGAAGGUUCGCUGGGGCUCAUAAAUGUCUCUCCUCAGCGAAGACAGCUUUGUAAAU
rnacentral:misc_RNA from 1 species